rnacentral:rRNA from 1 species
AACAAACGCUGGCGGCGUGCCUAAUACAUGCAAGUCGAACGGGGAAAGCUUUCGGGUGAGUACUAGUGGCGCACGGGUGAGUAACGCGUGGAUAAUCUGCCCUCGAAUGGGGAAUAACUAGUCGAAAGAUUAGCUAAUACCGCAUAAGACCACGACUACUGAGGUAGUUGGGGUCAAAGGAGCAAUUCGUUUGAGGAUGAGUCCGCGUAAGAUUAGCUAGUUGGUGAGGUAAUGGCUCACCAAGGCGAUGAUCUUUAACUGGUCUGAGAGGAUGAUCAGUCACACUGGAACUGAGACACGGUCCAGACUCCUACGGGAGGCAGCAGUAGGGAAUAUUGGACAAUGGGGGCAACCCUGAUCCAGCGACGCCGCGUGAGCGAUGAAGGCCUUCGGGUCGUAAAGCUCUGUUGUAAGGGAAAAAGUUCUGAUUGUACCUUACGAGAAAGGAUCGGCUAACUUCGUGCCAGCAGCAGCCGCCG